ACGUCUGCAGAAGAGAAAGACAAAAGUCGGUGCCGGCAGCUUGGUCCACACACAACACCCCCCACACCCGCCCAUCGGAUCUCACACAGAUGCCUCGGCCUGAUCAGAAGGCAUCCGAAGUUUGUCAAUAAAGGUGAAGUUUAUUGCUUGAAGGUCUGGCCAGCCAGAGAAACAGUUGCAGAUUAUAGAAACUCUGUCAUCUCCCAGAGAAGACUAAUAAUUCCAAAUAUCGACUUCACACGCACAGCAAAGGUGAAAGCUAAGGUGUUGGAGGAGUGGUCGGGAGGCACACAACGGGUCUGUCACGGUGGCCAGUGGGAGGAACGCACACAGAGCCUUGGAGGGCAGACGUGCCUAGAUUUGAAUUCUCCCUCUCCUAUGAGGAGCUAUGUGACAGCAUGUCAGAAGGUUCCCGGGCACGGCUGGACCUCUGGUCAGUGGGUCACGUAUGCUGUGGUCACCUGACAUGUGACAGGUUUUGCUUCCUCCUUCCCAUCUCAGGCAAGGCAAGAUCACUAUGAAAUUUACCCUCAAGAUGAUAUGGAUGAUUUUCCUUUUCUGAGCGCGGGCUACAUGUCAAGAAUCCAGCUAAGCCCUCAGUGUGCCAUAUUUCACUAAAUCCUUCCAACAACCUCUUUUUCCGACAGAUCACAGAACUGUGCCUUGGAGAAGCUCAAUAACUUGCCCAGCCUUGCGAACAGAGCCAGGGCUCCAACCCAAGCUUGUUUUAAGCAGAUGCUCGAGCUGUUUAACCACUAGGCAGCCCUGCCUCCUUCGCCACGUCCCAAGACAACUGGUGUUGAGAAAAUAUAAACUGGUGUUGUUAAUUUAUAUUUUAAUGGUAACAUUCCCUCACCUGGAAAUCUAUGCUUAUGCAAAACCAACAAGGAAAAUUUAAGGGUGGAAAGAUCAGGAGACAUCAGCUAAGGCCGUGUUAAAAAAAAAAAAAAUCAGCCAGGCUGAUCUGAUAUCAUGAUGGAAAGGAAAUUACUAGAAGCUCACUGUCCUAAAAAAAAAAAAAAAAUUGAACUUUUUGUAAAAAGAUUGCUGCCAGUAUAUAAAUCAAGUCCCCUUUCUAAAUUAUACUCUCUUUAGGUUGUGUCCUUAAUGACCCUCCACUGGCUCCCUGUCCCAUAUAGAGUGGUGUGGAUCUCUUGCUUGACACAGUUGCAGAAAACUCUGGUCUCCCACAGCCCUCCCAGAGCCC
rnacentral:lncRNA from 1 species